rnacentral:rRNA from 1 species
GAUGAACGCUGGCGGCGUGCCUAAUACAUGCAAGUCGAGCGAACAGACGAGGAGCUUGCUCCUCUGACGUUAGCGGCGGACGGGUGAGUAACACGUGGAUAACCUACCUAUAAGACUGGGAUAACUUCGGGAAACCGGAGCUAAUACCGGAUAAUAUAUUGAACCGCAUGGUUCACUAGUGAAAGACGGUUUUGCUGUCACUUAUAGAUGGCUCCGCGCCGCAUUAGCUAGUUGGUAAGGUAACGGCUUACCAAGGCGACGAUGCGUAGCCGACCUGAGAGGGUGAUCGGCCACACUGGAACUGAGACACGGUCCAGACUCCUACGGGAGGCAGCAGUAGGGAAUCUUCCGCAAUGGGCGAAAGCCUGACGGAGCAACGCCGCGUGAGUGAUGAAGGUCUUCGGAUCGUAAAACUCUGUUAGUAGGGAAGAACAAAUGUGUAAGUAACUAUGCACGUCUUGACGGUACCUAAUCAGAAAGCCACGGCUAACUACGUG